AUGAAGAUGGGUCCUCAGAUUAAGAAGCUCUCCAUCAAGCAACAGAAUGAGCGUCUGGAGAUUGAGAACAAAAUACUGGCGAUUGAGAACCACAAAAUACGCGAGGAGUUGAGGACGUACCGAUGUGUUGCUUGCUUGAAGAUUGAAAAUGCCUACCUGAAAGUUGAGCUUGCACACUCGUUUCGUAAUGCUGCUGCAAUUCUAGAAGCUGAAGCACAAUCUGAAUUGGAGGUUGGGUUUUCCUCUACAGCACCCCAGAUUCCAGCGGAUACUAGCGCAACUGGACCACUCCAGUCGGGUGCAGCUGGGAGCCAAGAUGAACCAUGCGAGUAA
rnacentral:rRNA from 1 species